rnacentral:lncRNA from 1 species
GGCACACUGGCUGCUUACUGGAGCCCUGUCCAUCACGGGAUCUCAGAGACCUGUCUGUGUGAAAGGAAUAGCAAUACGAUGGAUUCUGGUCCCAAAAUAUUUCUAAAUAAGGCAUGUUAUAGCCUUUUGACUUUUCUCUCCCUUGGUGCCCCUUUCUUCAGAAAAAGACUUCUCAUCUUUCUCCAGUGAAGGUGUUUCAUAGUGAUGGGCAGGCAUUCUCCAGAUGGCUGAAAAGCAAAGCGUUCAGCAGGCAGUAGUUUUAAGCCUUAUUCCCUCCCAGAGGACAUGCACCUAAUUGGCGGGAGGCAGUGUGACAACUUGGAGAGAACACCCAGGUAGCUGCGGGCCGGGGGACAGAGAGGAGAUACAAGAGGCCUACGGACACAGGUCUCCCGCUCAUCUUUCUAGUACUGAUGCACAGGCCAGGGGUGACUGUCCCUGGCACCUCCAAGGGAGCAGCCUGUUCUCCCUCUGGGAGCAGCUGCCAAGGCAAGGAGUGAGCUCCUGUAAGGGAAGCACCUCCAGCCAGGGGUGUGGGGCUGCCGUGCACAUCUCCAGUGGGCAGGCGCUUCUCUCCGCCUCCCUUGAUGGACAGCUUCCUCCCUUGGUUGGCAAAAGCCAGUGUCAGGAGGAGAGCGGUGGGUUUCUGACCAGGAACGUGCGUGCUCAGCUGCAAAGUGCCCGUCGGCAGCUCCACGCACCACCAAGGUGCCCUUUACGAGACGAUUCCUAGUCCAGUCAUCAUCAGGUUGCAGAUGAAAAUGCUCAGCAGAGAACGAUGCGUGAUGCAGUUGUUGAGCUUUCCAAAAACUUUUUCAUGAAAUAGUUACAUGUAUGUUGCAAAAGAUUUCUGAAACUGAAAUGCCCUCUGUCAGAUUCCAAGGUCAUUUGAGUUGAAGUCGGCUGUCUCUGGGGUCAUACUAAGCCCCACUUUUGAAAGCAGCCCUGGGCUCUGAAUUAACUGACACUGCUGCAUCGGUUUUCUCUUUCAUCAGACUUCAUCUGAAAAUGGAAGCGCAGCAUUCGUUUGAGAAUGGUUAGAGAAAAGUGAAAGAAUUGUACAUAUGGGAGAGAAUACCUUGAGAAUAGUAGCAAAAUACUGUAAAUAAUAUUCAUUUCCUCAGGGAAAUUUAAAGGGUAUGUGAAAAACAGAUCUGGAGGAUCCUAAGACUAGAAAGACUUAUUAUCUCGAGAGUCUUUUCUAGUUAGAACAGUUUGGUGGGUUUUUUUUUCAAUCAACAUGAUAUCAUUUCAAGACAAAUUUACAUGAACUGGACAUUACCAACUUUUUGAGGGGUGGAGGAAUGCUCUGUGAAAAAGAGCUGUUUCUUUGUAGCUGCCCUGCAUCUAAAGCUGACAUUUGAACCCCAGGCACAGCCCCUGGUGAGUAAUCCUAGGCUCCCGUAAGGCUUUCUCUGAAUGUAAUUGUGACUAUGAAGCCUUGGUGUUCCUUUGUAUAAUCCCUUGGUUGGGUGACUGAUUAUUAGCUCUAAGCCGAAUUCUGUAGGUAAAGCCUUUAAAGAGGUGCAUUUUUGCUUAAAUAGCAUGUUAAGGAGCAAACUUCCAUGGACUUUUGUGGACAAGGUGCUGCUUUUUCUCAUGACCCUGUAGAAUUUCUAACGACCACAUCAACCGUAGCAUUGACUUGUAUGAACGCAGGGAAGAAUUUGUGCAUACAAAUGAGUGGAAACAGAGCAGGCAUCAUGAAUAUGGAUGAGGAUGUGGAUCAUUUUGGAGAAUGCGCUGGGCACAUGGGUCAACUGGAAAUUUUGUUUCUUUAAGGGAAAUAACCCUACCAGCGGCACACACACUCUCUGUGUUCCUCUUACCUGUGGGGAUUCCUCCAUAUGGAACUGUUUCCCGUGGGUCUUUUUGCAUUGUAACUAGUCCAACCAGAAGUCAGUAAACAGGACAAGUUAGCACUUCUUGGUGUCAGUUGUAUCACCAUGUGAUGCACACCAAGAGAGCAAGGAAGCGUAAAAUGUAUUUAAGACCACCUGGUUUGCUUAUUGUGACUGACUUUGAAAAAGCCCAUAGCCGAUUAUACACAUGCUUUAAAAGGUGUAUCUAUCAUAGAACCAGAAAUCAAACUGGGAAUUUUACUUCUGGUCCUGUUCUGUAAAUAGUUCCUUUAUUUUGAAGACAAUCUCAUGUUUUAUAGCUUUUCUUGUGGGUCUGAGAAUCACAAUGGUAAUGUGUUGUGUCAAAAUGUAAUCUUAAAUACAAUAACGGUUAUAACUUAAUUUUCCAAACGAGACAAGAUAUUUCCUGCUUAGGCUUCUACAGUUCUAAGACACAUGAUCCUUUUUUUAUAACAAGCAUGAGUUCUUACCUUCUGGAGUUAACAGAACUGAAAAUAUCUUACAAGUUGCAGUGUUUUGUAAUCACAAAGAACAUGAACAUUUUCUGGGAAACGACCUUGGUUUUCUACAUUGUAGCUUAUUUUUUAAAAUACAGUGUUUUACCAGACAGGAACUGUUAAUAUUAUAAGCAGUUCCUGCUCUCCAGACAAAGGGCUAUGCCUCUUUUCAGCAAGUGUUUUCAUGCAUAUCUUUCCAAUUAACCCUCUGCAGCGAGGGUAGAAAUGCAGACCAGCUGGGAAGAUCAUCACAGGAGAAUCAAGAUGCAACAGCGACUCCUUUGUCAUUACCAGUGUUUUCAAAGUAUAAUGGAAAAAAGACAUGUUAAGAAUCAUCCUAGGUAUCUUAAAUCUAAAAAAUGUCAGUAGAUAUGCCUAUAGGCAAUGGGAAAACUAUUCUUGCAAAUUCUUUAGUGUAAAAUGAUAGAUUCUGUUACAAAGACAAGCUUACCACUUGACCCACCAGAACCACAAACCUGCCUUUAACUAGCAAGUAUCAUUUGGUGGAAAUUUCUAAAGUCAUGGUGGGUCAGCCCAAAGAUAGAACUCUUAGGUGAUCAGUGGUGUUUAAAAUAAUUCUGUCCCCAGCACUAACUAAAUAACUCGAAUUUCCUUAUCGGAACAAGUGCUGGAUUUUUCACACAAAGAAUUCGCAGACACGCAAGGUUGAGAUCAGAAAGUCACUGUAUUCCCUAGAGUCGGGAAACAAGGAAGGGAGCCAUGGAGCGUUUUUGAACUGCACAAAUAAUUCUGAGCAUUGCCAAAUCCAUUUCCUAAUACUGUACAGUUUUUUCUAGCCCACUCACUGAUAAAACAAGAAAACAUCUUUUUUUCCCCCUAAGAUUUUAAUAAUUCAGACGCUAGACUAAUUAGCCAAGUAUGCAGAUAACAUCAAAAGAAAAGCCAGGAUAGAAUGGUCAUCUACCCCUUGGGCAACUCCUGUGAGGUGGUCAGGGGGUCCCUCGGAUCUUGCUUUCAAGUAGGCUUUCGAAUCUGCACCCAUGAGGACUGGGAAUGCACAGAGUUAGGGAAAACUGUGCAUGGCCUCGGCUCCCAGUCUCUGAGAUGAGGCCAUCUGAGAUCUCUCUCUUCAUUCCCUUGGAGCAUCUCCAUUGUUAGCAUGAGAGUCCCCAAGAAAUGUUCCUUGCUUUGUGGUUUUGAACCAAAUGAGUCUUGCUUCAUCUUUAAAUAAAAGCUGCCUGAUGGUGCAUGGCACAGGCCUUAGAAUGGCCAGGCAGGUUCUAUAAAGGAACGACUCAGCUCAGGCAGAAGAGGGACCCUGGCGAGUGGUGGAGAUGGUACUGAAGCAGAGAACACAUGCCCCCUCUGACGGGGGGACCCCGCACUCAGCUCUAGACAAUCAGAACCACACAGAAAUCAGGCCCAGGGCUGCUGGCCUUCUGACUUGGACAUAUGCUGUCACGUGACACUGAAGUGUUGACAGCUAAGUCAGAUUCUUGGCCAACACUAAGCAGACCAAAGAGAGCCCGUAUGUGGGCAGAUACAGCCUUUGGCCACCAGUUUGAACUGUUGGGGAAAGCACAUGUCACAUGCCGUGGCCAUCGAGUUUUUCCAUCAGCCCCACGAACGCACACGUUGGUACUGUCUGGGCAACUAAAAUCAAAGAAGGGAAAGAGGUCAGUUCUCCCCAGGAAAUCAUUCCCAUGGAAGACUUGAAUACAGAAAUCUAGUAUCCUUGAACCAGCCUUGCCUCGGAUCCAAAGAUGCUGAGGUGGCGUCCAGCUCUCCCCCUGCCUGCUGGCGUGCCCAGGCCAUGCCCCAAAGCAUCGAGUGACUGUAAUCCCGACGUUCUUACUGUUUUCGCUACCGUGACCACUGUGACGAGGGGCUGGCAAAGAGCAGCCUGUGCCUUCAGAGAAGGCCGGGAGCCCCAGCCGUUAAAGCUAGCCCACGUUGCCUCCUUGUGCCAAAGCCCUCUGCCGCCCCCUCCAUACUCCUGCCCGCUCCAUCCCGCCUCACGAGUUUUCGUUCCAGGGUAAAAUUUCCGUCUUUCCCCUUUGAUUUGGCAAAAUCCUUGCCUCAGAAUGCUAGAUACUUAAGUAUUUUUGAGUGUCCACUAACCUCAAAAUGGAGUUUUUCCACAGAGAAAAACCUUAGCCCUCAGACGAAGACAAAAUGGGAAUAAAUGUGUCAUGGAAAAAAUUAGAAGUCGCUUCCUUCAUUCGGAUGGAAUAAGUUAUUUCAGACUGUGUCUCACACCAGAGUCCUGACAGCGUUGGGAAAACCACUGACCCUUUCCCAUAUACAGGAAAGUCUGUCUCUUUCAAAUACACGAUUCAUUUGACCUUCCUAAGAGUCCAGUGUAGAAGAGGGAUAUGUAGGAUGACUAUCAUGGGCCUCCAAGGCCAGCCCGGAGGAGCCUCGAACCUGUGGGUCAGCCUCAUUGCUGCCUGCAAGGAGGAGAGAAGGGGCUUGUUAAAGGGCUGACUCAGCCCUUGGUCUUCCAGAAUGGCUCUAGACCUGAGAAGACCGGGGACGCACCAUGUUCUCAACCCAUCCUUUCAAUCCAGGUCUUUCAGCACAGAAAUAAAGAGCCCGCUCAGUCCCACAGUCAGAUGCCAACUAUUAAAUCAUGCCCACAUGCGUCCCUUUAGGGUAACUACCCUGCCACUAUUCCCUAAGUUGCAACCAUCCACAUGGUUAAUUAUAGGAGUUUUAUUAGCUAACGCAAUAUUCUGAGUAAAAGUUUUGACUCUUUGAGAAAUAGUUAUUUUGCUGCUAACAUUCAACACUUGCUACCCAUGUAAAUUUAAAUCAAUGCCAGAAAAUUUAAAAACAGCUCAAACUUACAAUUGGUAGUGAUCAAACUGAAAAGUACUGUCAACUCAAAGUUGGAAUCGCCUGGUCAUAGGGUGCAGUAAUAUUUAAAUACGAAUGCAAUUUAAACAGCCUUGGCAUGCCUGAGGUUUCUGUCAUUGUGAGUGAUUAAAAGGCCGUCCAAUACACAAAUGGAUUCCAUCUGACCCUUCUCCCAUUAGUUUACCAGGUUUCACAUCUUGAGUUUACGGUAAAGCCACUCACAGGGGCUUACUGAUGGAGCUAGAAGGGGCCUAAACCAUCCUGGCCCUCCACCUACUUCAUCAACGGGCUUUUUGAUGAGUGAUACUUUUAUGAUGUUUCCUGGCAGUGUGGUGGCUAAGAUUCAGCCCUCUCACCACCACCACGGCCCAGGGUUCCCUUCCUGGUCAGGAACCCACACCACCCAUCUGUCGGUUUUCAUACUGUGGUGGUUGCGUGUUGCUGUGAUGCUGAAAGCUAUGCCACCUGUAUUUCAAACACCAGCAGGGUCACCCAUGGUGGACAGGUUUCAGUGGAGCUUCCAGACUAGACAGACUAGGAAGAAGGACCAGGCCACCCACUUCCGAAAAAAUUAGCCACGAAAACCCUGUGAAGAGCAGUGGAGCGUUGUCUGAUAGAGCACCAGAAGGGGAGAGGACGGCACAGAAAGACUGGGCAGGAUUCCGCUCUGCUGCGGAAAGGGCGCUAGGAGUCAGAAUGGACUCCAUGACACUGACAACAAAAAGUAAUACAGUGCUGGAGGAGGGAGCCGCUGAGACUCUCUCCUCUGCUGGAAAAGAUGCCCAUUUUGCAACAAUUAGCACCAAUGCUGUGACAGGAGCCGGACUUAAAAGGACCCGGGCUUUAGGGGACGGGAAGAAAGCUACCGUCCAGAAGGAAGAUAACUGUAGAUUUUGAAAGAAGGUGGAGAUUGUGAAUUCAACACUUAAAUUGCAGUCCUCGUUUUUAAAAAAUGUCUCAUACUGGGCGCCAUCCGCGUAAUUAUUAACUGCCACCUUCCAGAGAGAAGCUCCCCUUUAUUUAUGUUAUGAAAAUGUUUAAUUCUCAAGUCUAAUUAAUUGUUACAUUUACUUACUGGGAACAAUCGCCUAAAUUUUUAAUUCAGGAAAUUAGCCAGAGUAGAAAGUAGCAACUUCUGAAAAAGGCAAGCAAGCUGUCAUUAACAAAAUUUUCUUUAAAAAAAAAAAAAAAUGUUGCUGAUCUAUUUUCUUCCAAAUUCUCUCUCCAUCCGUGACUAGAAAGGAAAACCGGAACUCUGGAGAAGCUGCUGAGCUUCCAGAAGGAAUAGUCCUCAUUCUGGUUAUUGGUCUUGUUUCCCCCGUCUUGGCACCCACCUUGCAUUCGCAGGUGACACCUGACUCUCCCCUCUUGGCCCCCAUCCGCCCGAGCUGAGGCCGUGCGCUUAUUAUGUGCGUCCCCUUCCAAAAGCCCCAGAUUACACCUUCUUGCUUCUGUGCUGCUGACUUGGCCCUCUUAAGCUAAGGUCCCAGAGGGUAGCUGUUACUGUGACGGGUGUGUUAGGCUCAGUCAAGUGAUCAGAGCCAACACAGGCAGAGGAAGAGAGCCCCGGUGUGGUCGCUCCGGGCCUGAUCUCUGCACCGAUCAUGGGGCAGGAAAAUGAAUUGGCCGGUAUUAUGUGACAAGGAAGUGACCCACCCCUGCAGGGUGUAAUUGUUUUAACUCUAUAUUUAUGCACAGAGGAAACUGCUCCAAUCCACUCACGUUGUUAAGCAUUAGCCCCUCCCCCCAGUGGAGCCCCGCCUGCCUCC